UGCAUGCUUAAAUCAUGGGUUCAAAAAACACAUUAAAUCACCUAGAGUUCGAUAAAACAUCAUAAGGAUUAGCUACUCAACAUACGAUUCCAUAAUCAAACAUCCUAAUCUUCAGGUAAAAAUUAGAGAAAGGAUUCGAAAAGCCCAAGGUCCGUCCAUUUCAUCAUUUCAGAUUAAUCUCCUCGUUAAGCAAUCGUGAAG
rnacentral:misc_RNA from 1 species